GCCUUCGUGGUGUAACGGUUAGCAUACUUGGCUUGUAUUCGAGAGGUCCAGGUCCAAGUCUUGGCGAGGACA
rnacentral:tRNA from 1 species